GAUGAACGCUGGCGGCGUGCUUAACACAUGCAAGUCGAACGGACUUUACAUGAAGCCUAGCGAAUGUAAAGUUAGUGGCGGACGGGUGAGUAACGCGUGAAUAACCUGCCUUAUACUGGGGGACAACAGUUGGAAACGACUGCUAAUACCGCAUAAGCGCACGGAGCUGCAUGGCUCAGUGUGAAAAACUCCGGUGGUAUAAGAUGGUCUCGCGUCUGAUUAGCUAGAUGGCGGGGUAACGGCCCACCAAGGCGACGAUCAGUAGCCGGCCUGAGAGGGUGAACGGCCACAUUGGGACUGAGACACGGCCCAAACUCCUACGGGAGGCAGCAGUGGGGAAUAUUGCACAAUGGGGGAAACCCUGAUGCAGCAACGCCGCGUGAGUGAGGAAGUAUUUCGGUAUGUAAAGCUCUAUCAGCAGGGAAGAAAAUGACGGUACCUGACUAAGAAGCUCCGGCUAAAUACGUG
rnacentral:rRNA from 1 species